rnacentral:rRNA from 1 species
UACAGAGGUCUCAACCGUUGUUCGGAUUCAUUGGGCGUAAAGGGUGCGUAGGCGGCGGGGUAAGUCAGGUGUGGAAUCUCGGGGCUCAACCCCGAAACUGCACUUGAUACUGCCUCGCUUGAGUACUGGAGAGGAGACUGGAAUUUACGGUGUAGCAGUGAAAUGCGUAGAUAUCGUAAGGAAGACCAGUGGCGAAGGCGAGUCUCUGGACAGUUACUGACGCUGAGGCACGAAGGCCAGGGGAGCAAACGGG